rnacentral:rRNA from 1 species
GACGAACGCUGGCGGCGUGCCUAAUACAUGCAAGUAGAACGAGUUGCGAACGGGUGAGUAACGCGUGGUAACCUGCCUCAUCGCGGGGGAUAACUAUUGGAAACGAUAGCUAAUACCGCAUACUUUGAGAUGGACCUGCGUUGUAUUAGCUAGUUGGUGAGGCAAAGGCUCACCAAGGCGACGAUACAUAGCCGACCUGAGAGGGUGAGCUGCCACAAGGGAACUGAGACACGGUCCAGACUCCUACGGGAGGCAGCAGUGGGGAAUAUUGCACAAUGGGCGCAAGCCUGAUGCAGCCAUGACGCGUGUAUGAAGAAGGCCUUCGGGUUGUAAAGUACUUUCAGCGGGGAGGCGUUACCCGCAGAAGAAGCACCGGCUAACUCCGUGCCAGCCGCCGCGGUAAUAC